rfam:Trichobilharzia regenti genome assembly, scaffold: TRE_scaffold0011228
AUUCAGUGAUGAGUUCCAAAUAGGACGAAAUUCGCAUCCUGGAU